ACGGUCCUACGGGGGGCAGCAGUGGGGAAUAUUGCGCAAUGGGCGAAAGCCUGACGCAGCGACGCCGCGUGAGGGAUGAAGGUCUUCGGAUCGUAAACCUCUGUCAGCAGGGAAGAACGGUCACUGUGCUAAUCAGCAGUGAAUUGACGGUACCUGCAAAGGAAGCACCGGCUAACUCCGUGCCAGCAGCCGCGGUAAUACGGAGGGUGCGAGCGUUAAUCGGAAUUACUGGGCGUAAAGCGCUCGUAGCGGGUAUGCCAGGUCAAGGGUGAAAUCCCCGCGCUCACCGCG
rnacentral:rRNA from 1 species